UGCGGGGUAGAGCAGUUGGCAGCUCGUCGGGCUCAUAACCCGGAGGUCGCAGGUUCGAAUCCUGCCCCCGCUA
rnacentral:tRNA from 1 species